CUUGCCCUCAGCUCAGGCAGUCUGAAUUUGUGCUGCUUUUUGCACAUAAAAAGCAUUUUAUAAAGAGCUUUGGGAUGUGGGUGAUGCCACGUGGUCACUGCAGGAGGGCCAGGGAAAGCAAGGACAUAUUUGAAAGAUUUCAGGGAGUGGAAGCCAAGGACUCAUGAAUUACUCAUUUCUUUUUAGACCAGAGCUGCACAAGGCCAAGCAUUCAAAUAGUUUUAAACAUGUGGAUCACUGAUUUAAGCGUUCAGUUUCCUGCUGGCAUCUGACAUCAUGAAACCACACUGUACAGAAACCCAAUUCACCGUCAGAAUAAUUAUAAAUAUAUUUGGCCACAAAGAUCAGCCAUGAUGGAAGGAGUUCCCAGAGGGAAGGCCUUGCAGUGACACAGUAAGGUGGCUGUCUUCAAUUGGAGAGAGAAUCUUCACCCGACAACCAGAUCAAGCCUGUUGAUCUUGGACUUCCAAUCUCCAGAACUGUGGGAAAGUUCAGUUCUGUUGUUCAGGCCCCAGCUCGUGGUACUCAAUGAGGCAGUCUGAGCAGGCUGAUGUGCCUCCGCAUCCCUUUGGGGCUAGACUGAUUUAUUGGUCUGUGGCCUCGGUGGGAGUUUGUAUUUAACUUUUUCCAUUGGCAAAGUAACAGCAAAAUAAAUUGGACUCUGGAAAAGAA